rnacentral:tRNA from 1 species
GUCCAGGGGGGGGAAUCGAACCCACAACCUUCUGCUUACCGGGCAGGUGCCAUGUCCACUAGGCUACCCUGGA